CCCUUGGUGGUGUAGUUGGUUAUCGCGUCAGACUGUAAUUGUCCACAAAUUGUUAUCUGAAUGUCACCGGUUCGAUUCCGGUCCGAGGGA